AACGCGAAGAACCUUACCAAGGCUUGACAUCCCUCUGAAGUGCCUAGAGAUAGGUAUGCCUUUAGGGGCAGAGGAGACAGGUAGUGCAUGGUUGUCGUCAGCUCGUGUCGUGAGAUGUUGGGUUAAGUCCCGCAACGAGCGCAACCCUUGUCUUUAGUAACCAACAGGUAGAGCUGGGAACACUAGAGAGACUGCCGUGGAUAACACGGAGGAAGGUGGGGACGACGUCAAAUCAUCAUGCUCCUUAUGUCUUGGGCUACACACGUGCUACAAUGGCUGGAACAAAGUGAAGCAAAUGCGCGAGCACAAGCAAAUCACAAAAAGCCAGUCACAGUUCGGAUUGUAGUCUGCAACUCGACUAUAUGAAGUUGGAAUCGCUAGUAAUCGUAAAUCAGCAUGUUACGGUGAAUACGUUCCCGGGCCUUGUACACACCGACUGUAC
rnacentral:rRNA from 1 species